CAAUUACGCUCUGGCGUUAUCCCGCAACGUAACGCCAUCACACUCCAGAUGUUCCAAGUGUAGGGACAUUCGAAGAAGAGGUUUGGAGGCCCCAACCGAUUAUUCUGUCCCUGGUUGGGCAGCGGUUGAGCACAAAGAGCCAAGUGAGGAAACUAUGUCUAGGAAUUCCUCCCUUGUUCCAGACAAUGUUACACCAAGUUACCGCUGGGCCUUGGACACGCAGUGAGCAGAGCUUGAACCUCAACCUGUCUAUCCGAUCGAGCAGGAGGGAGAAGCCAAGUACCGUUGGAGUGAAGCGAUGCAAGAGUUGCCAUGUCUUGAAUCCCUAGUGAUGAGUUGGUUCUUAACUGGAGACCAAUUGUCCGUCCAAAUACGACAGGAGAAGCGCCUGCGGGGAGAUACUGUCCAUAAGUUACUCAGAUCACCUUGUAGAACUUCUUCUCAAAACCAAGCAACCCAAACAGAACCAGCUUGGAAGAAGAGGAGCCAAAUGAGCUUGAGACAGCAGGCUUUGUUCCAAAGAGAGAGGUCAUUUAUCCCUAAGCCUCCUUCAAUUUUUGGUCUGGU